GAGACACCCUUCUGGGGCAAGACUUGUGGGGCUUUGGCGCUCACUGAGUCUGCCCCCUGAGUGUGUCCCU
rnacentral:pre_miRNA from 1 species